UACGGGGGGAGCAAGCGUUGUUCGGAUUUACUGGGCGUAAAGGGCGCGUAGGCGGCCACCGCAAGUCGAUUGUGAAAUCUCCGGGCUUAACCCGGAAAGGUCAACCGAUACUGCGGGGCUAGAGUGCAGAAGGGGCAACUGGAAUUCUCGGUGUAGCGGUGAAAUGCGCAGAUAUCAGGAGGAACACCGGUGGCGAAGGCGGGUCUCUGGGCAGUAACUGACGCUGAGGAGCGAAAGCGUGGGGAGCGAACAGG
rnacentral:rRNA from 1 species